rnacentral:rRNA from 1 species
CGGACGGGUGAGUAACGCGUGGGGAACCUGCCCUGUACCGGGGGAUAGCAGCCGGAAACGGCUGAUAAUACCGCAUAAGCGCACGAAUGUCGCAUGACAUGGUGUGAAAAACUCCGGUGGUAUAGGAUGGACCCGCGUCUGAUUAGCCAGUUGGUGGGGUAAAAGCCUACCAAAGCGAAGAUCAGUAGCCGAGUUGAGAGACUGACCGGCCACAUUGGGACUGAGACACGGCCCAGACUCCUACGGGAGGCAGCAGGG